AUGAUGAGCCUGUUCAUUCAUCUCAGCUGUGGCUUAUUGACGCUUGUAUGGAGCUGGCUUCCAUUUUCCUCCGUACUCAGAACUGGAACCCAGACCCCGAUACCUGAUCCCACAUCCCUUGUGCUUCCUUUUCAUUUGGUCACUUCCACACCCAAACCCUUCAUGCCAGAACGUUCUGUUCACUCUCCCACUCGGAUCCAUGUCCAGGGUUUGGAAUUCAACACACACUGCAUUUCAGUGAGUCGGGGCUGUAUUGAUCUGGUGUGAGAAUGUCCCCUCAGUCCCCAAUAAACAAUUACUGCACUGGAUGUGCGCCUGUCCUUCAUCGUGUGUUUUGGAACUGUUUACGUUACCCCAGCAACCACUGGCUACGGGGCACGGAGGUCAAAGACGGAAGCUUGGGGCUUAAAACCCGGGUCUGGACCUGCCUCCGUAAAGCUGAAGCUGAAGCGUUUUCCGAAGUGCCUUUCCAGUGAAAAACACAAGUGAAAGGAUUGGUUGCAUAAGAUUUUCAAGCCAAUUAGUGGGGCAUUGCAUUCUGGGACACCGGUCAAGUAAGCCAGAAGCCGUAGGUGUCCGCGUCGAAGCAGCUUGCUUUAAGUAACGCUUUCUGAGACUCCCAGCCGGUUAGUUGCUAGUUUCAGCCGCAGCAGGAGCUCCUGCUUUAGUAUCCUUGAGCGCUUUUGUGCAAAGUGCGUCACCUGCAUUGCCUCCGUGCCGGAGCUGGCAGCUGAGCGAAACGCUGCUUACGCGGGGGAAACUGACACUGAUAUCGAGCGGGGAUCAUUUAUACAAACGAUAUUACCCCCUCAGCCGCUGCUGUCUCUCUCUCUCUCUCUCUCUCUCUCUCUCUCGCCACAUCAGCUGACAGCAGGGAAUUUAAAACAUGGCACAACAACUGUGCAACCUAGGCUGCCCUUAAUCCCCGUCGCCCUGUACGGUACGCGCUGUAACGAAGCCACUCCAGGCUUUUGCAAUGAUCGCCCUGAAAUUAUAGCCCUGAUAUCAUACCCAUACGAGUCAGCUACCCUCAGCCUGCCCUCGUUCGUGCUGCUGACCUUCUGCUCUUACCUUUGACCGGUUUAAAGAGAAGGAUGCAUUCAGGCUGCAGCCCAGACCCGGUUAGCGAGGAGCGCUCCGCGAUGAAAGUAAGAAUGGGACGACGCGCUCGACUAUAAAACCGACAUCUGCAGCCUUCUGCAUUAUCCGCACGAGUCAGCAGCCGCUUUUGGUCGAAAAAUGUUUCAAAAAUAUAUAUCUGCGAGAUUAAGUUAAACUGUGAAACUGUUAAAAAAAAAAUACAAUAAAUAUUAAAGCAACAAAACAGUACUGCUUGGAAAGCUUGAAAUAUGAGGCCACUUUGAUCAUCUCCAGGGUGCCGUUAGUGUGCGGUUCCAUCUGCACAGUUGCAGGAUGGGCUUCCCCUCACGCCAGCAGCCAGUGGCUUAUUAAGCUGCGCGACGGAUUACAUCAAUCGAGGGGUCUCAGACGUGUGGCGUGUUUUUCUGAGGGUGUGUACCUUUAAGGACAAAAAAAAAAUAAAAUCAUCGGCACGUUAUGUAAUAGUUUGGUGCCGCCCGGCCUUGUUUUGUCAGCUGAACUCUGAUCGUAGCGUGUAAACACCCAGCCCACUGUGUCAUAAGGCAGCCAGCUGUCAAAACAGCCCUCCGUGGCCCUUUAUCUGCGCCUGUCGUCUGUGCCGAUGAGUGAGCCGGCGGAGAGACAUCAGGAAAGCCAGGAGGGAGAGAAACAGGAAAACAACGCACCUGAGGACAGAGGAGGAGGAGGGAGGAGGAGGAGAGCGCCCCCUGCCUUCUGUCCUGGGCUUCCUAGGAUUGACUCUAAGCUCAUCCCAAUUCUGUACUACAUAACCGGCUAUGGAUAUUGGAUUAGUUAUCCAUUUGUUUGUUUAUCAGUCUAUUUAUUAGGUGUUUUUGUUUUGUAUGAUGAUCGUUGAAGCCUCAGCACAAACACACGGAGGCUACGAGGGCAGAGAUGGCAGGGCGAGCAGUGUUGGGGGCCGUGACCUCUCAGCCCCGGCCCGUAAGCUCUGAUGGUCCUGGGAGGGCCGUUCUCCACUCUGCACCGCAUGCAGAGAUUAUGAGCGGCCAGACCCAGCCGCUGGUAAACUGCUGAAUUCAUACAUCCCUUCCAGGAAAUGUUAGCAGUCAGUCUUCACAGUAAAUAUAUCCUUGGUUAUCACAUUAA